CCUAUAUAAAAAAAUAAUGUAUGGCAAAAGAUUCCCAGCAUAGCCAACCUAAUAACAAAAUAAAUAAUGCAAUGGCAACACAAAGGCGGGAUUGUCAAUUGUGUCAAUUUUCUGUAUUUUCAAAAGUCAAAACUAACCGUGAAACGAAAAUGUAAUUCCGUGGACCGUGGUGUUUUUGUUUUCCAUGUUUCGUUUUAUUCGGUGUUCUUCAUCUGAGCAGUGCGUCGAGUUGAGCAAUUAAGUUCCUCCGUAGUGUUUCAUUUGUGUGAUAUUGUUAUCUUUACGUAUUCUCAUUAAUAAAAGACGUCGAGUUGAAGCAGCGUGCUCCUCCGUCUGCUGUGUCUUUGAGCAAUAUUAUUGAGAUAGAGACUCAUUAUGGAUGGAAAAAGCAGAGUCUGUGAAAUUUGUGGGGUCAGAGAACGACAUAGGCCUGGAUUUUUUGGCAAUUUCCCAAUUGAUGAACAAAGAUGUAGAACCUGGGUUAAAAUUGUUGGUAAAGAAGACCUACUGCACAUACCAAUAGAAAAACUUCGCCAAGUACGUUUUGUGUGUGGUGAUCACUUCAAAGCAAAAGAUUUCAACAAAAAAGGCAAUCGCUUGAAGAAAAGGGCCUACCCUAAGCUGGAGCUUUCUGCACAACCAUUGACUGAGCAUCAAUUAAAAGACUUCCCUCAACAUGUCGCAAGCAAAGCUCCCACAACCAUGGAUGACAGUACUAAAACUCCUGCAAUUGCCUCAUCAUCCAAACUGCAGAACCCAGAGGCAACAACCCAAAUUACAAUGACUUCAUCACCAAUUCCCAUGGAAGCGGUCCCUGCUGCACCCGUGCUAGCUGCAUGUAGCACAACGCCGGCACUCGUCAAAGGCUAUAAAGUUUCGUGGCCUCAACCCCCUAUCGCCUCGGAGUUCCGUCAAGCAGGCUAGCAAAGACAGUGCUCCCUGCAGCAGCUUCGAGUCUUCGGAAAGCAGUUAUAGUACAGGAACGAUGUGGUAGGUUAUGCCGAUCACGAAUCGGGUUAUAUAGCCACAAGCGCCGCUGUCCCUAGAUCUGAGACGCUGCUUAAAUCAUCUGUAAAGAUGUACAAGGCCUGAUGAUGAGUUCGAAGAACUUGUACCAUUACUCCUAUGUUCUUCAAGA
rnacentral:misc_RNA from 1 species